GACGAACGCUGGCGGCAGGCUUAACACAUGCAAGUCGAACGCUCCCUUCGGAGAGAGUGGCAGACGGGUGAGUAACGCGUGGGAAUCUACCCAGUACUACGGAACAACACAGAGAAAUUUGUGCUAAUACCGUAUACGCCCUCCGGGGGAAAGAUUUAUCGGUAUUGGAUGAGCCCGCGUUUGAUUAGCUAGUUGGUGAGGUAACGGCUCACCAAGGCGACGAUCAAUAGCUGGUCUGAGAGGACGAUCAGCCACACUGGGACUGAGACACGGCCCAG
rnacentral:rRNA from 1 species